rnacentral:rRNA from 1 species
GUCGAACGAAGCACCUUACCGGAUUCUUCGGAUGAAAGUUUGGUGACUGAGUGGCGGACGGGUGAGUAACGCGUGGGUAACCUGCCCUGUACAGGGGGAUAACAGCUGGAAACGGCUGCUAAUACCGCAUAAGCGCACGAGGAGACAUCUCCUAGUGUGAAAAACUCCGGUGGUACAGGAUGGGCCCGCGUCUGAUUAGCUGGUUGGCAGGGUAACGGCCUACCAAGGCAACGAUCAGUAGCCGGUCUGAGAGGAUGAACGGCCACAUUGGAACUGAGACACGGUCCAAACUCCUACGGGAGGCAGCAGUGGGGAAUAUUGCACAAUGGGGGAAACCCUGAUGCAGCAACGCCGCGUGAGUGAAGAAGUAUUUCGGUAUGUAAAGCUCUAUCAGCAGGGAAGAUAAUGACGGUACCUGACUAAGAAGCUCCGGCUAAAUACGUGCCAGCAGCCGCGGUAAUACGUAUGGAGCAAGCGUUAUCCGGAUUUACUGGGUGUAAAGGGUGCGUAGGUGGCAGUGCAAGUCAGAUGUGAAAGGCCGGGGCUCAACCCCGGAGCUGCAUUUGAAACUGCAUAGCUGGAGUACAGGAGAGGCAGGCGGAAUUCCUAGUGUAGCGGUGAAAUGCGUAGAUAUUAGGAGGAACACCAGUGGCGAAGGCGGCCUGCUGGACUGU